UCUUCUUCUUCUCUGCUUCUUCUCUCUGCUUUUUUUUCUUCUUCUUCUUCUUCCUCGUCGUCUCCAGGCAUAUCGAUUUUGCUAACCCAACAAAGAUGUCUUAAACCCAAAUCGACCACGCGACUCGCCUUCUUCUUCUUCUCUUCUUCUUCUUCUUCUUCUUCUUCCUCGUUGUCUCCAAGCAUAUAUAUCGAUUCUGCUAACGUUACAAAGAUGUCUGACGGUUCGCAAUCAGAGAGUGAGAAUGGGAGUGUUGAUGAGAGGGACAUAUCCAACAGUGAUGUGGAGAGUGACAGAUCCGAGAUUGAGUCGCAAAUUGAAGUUUUGCGUUUCUUAACUUCAUCUUAACUAGGUUUUAAGUUGUGGAGAGUGAAGUUUUUGCGUUUCAGUGACGGAUUCUGUUUUGCGUUUCUUAACUUCAUCUUAACUAGGUUUUAAGUUGUGGAGAGUGAAGUUUUUGCGUUUCAGUGACGGAUUCUGUUUUGCGUUUCUUAACUUCAUCUUAACUAGGUUUUAAGUUUUUACUGACUACUUUUGGUAUUAGCUUCAAACUGAAGCAAAGAAAGCUAAGAAAGACAAUAAGGCUAAGGAGAAGGAGAUAAAGACUAAGAAGCCGAAUAAGACUAAGAAGGAUAAGAAGACUCAAGGUCAGGAGACGAUCUCAAUCACACAACCGUCUCAAGCAACACAAGAGUAGUUUGGUUCUGUUCUAUGGUAAAUGGCAGUUGCAUGUGUUGUCUGGUUUUUUAGACUUGCUUUUAGAUUAGAUGUCAACAACAUUAUUUUCCAUUCAGAUGU